rnacentral:rRNA from 1 species
GACGAACGCUGGCGGCGUGCUUAACACAUGCAAGUCGAACGGAAAGGCCCUGCUUUUGUGGUGUGCUCGAGUGGCGAACGGGUGAGUAACACGUGAGUAACCUGCCCUUGACUUUGGGAUAACUUCAGGAAACUGGGGCUAAUACCGGAUAGGAGCUCCUGCUGCAUGGUUGGGGUUGGAAAGUUUCUGCGGUUGGGGAUGGACUCGCGGCUUAUCAGCUUGUUGGUGGGGUAGUGGCUUACCAAGGCUUUGACGGGUAGCCGGCCUGAGAGGGUGACCGGCCACAUUGGGACUGAGAUACGGCCCAGACUCCUACGGGAGGCAGCAGUGGGGAAUAUUGCACAAUGGGCGAAAGCCUGAUGCAGCAACGCCGCGUGAGGGAUGACGGCCUUCGGGUUGUAAACCGCUUUCGCCAGUGAAGAAGCGUGAGUGACGGUAAUGGGUAAAGAAGCACCGGCUAACUACGUG